ensembl:lncRNA
CUGAAAUAUAAACUAUGAUUGGUAAAGGGCUGAAAUAUAAACUCUAUGAUUGGUAAAGGGCUGAAAUAUAAACUCUAUGAUUGGUAAAGGGCUGAAAUAUAAACUAUGAUUGGUAAAGGGCUGAAAUAUAAACUCUAUGAUUGGUAAAGGGCUGAAAUAUAAACUCUAUGAUUGGUAAAGGUCUGAAAUAUAAACUCUAUGAUUGGUAAAGGUCUGAAAUAUAAACUCUAUGAUUGGUAAAGGUCUGAAAUAUAAACUCUAUGAUUGGUAAAGGGCUGAAAUAUAAACUAUGAUUGGUAAAGGGCUUGAAAUAUAAACUAUGAUUGGUAAAGGGCUUGAAAUAUAAACUCUAUGAUUGGUAAAGGGCUGAAAUAUAAACUAUGAUUGGUAAAGGUCUGAAAUAUAAACUCUAUGAUUGGUAAAGGGCUGAAAUAUAAACUCUAUGAUUGGUAAAGGGCUGAAAUAUAAA